rnacentral:misc_RNA from 1 species
GAUGAAGAACGUAGCGAAAUGCGAUAAGUAAUGUGAAUUGCAGAAUUCAGUGAAUCAUCGAAUCUUUGAACGCACCUUGCGCCCUUUGGCUAUUCCAGAGGGCAUGCCUGUUUGAGUAUCAUGAACACCUCACCUCUCAUGGUUCUGCCAUGAUGAGCUUGGACUUUGGAGGUCUUGCUGGCCCCUGUGGUCAGCUCCUCUCAAAUGGAUCAGCUUGCCAGUGUUUGGUGGCAUCACAGGUGUGAUAACUAUCUACGCUUGUGGUUUUCCACCAGGUAACCUUCAGUGAUGGAGGUUCGCUGGAGCUCAUAAACGUCUCUCCUCAGCGAGGACAGCUUCUUGAAUGUUUGAUCUCAAAUCAGGUAGGGCUACCCGCUGAACUUAAGCAUAUCAAUAAGCGGAGGA